rnacentral:rRNA from 1 species
AUUGAACGCUGGCGGCAGGCCUAGCACAUGCAAGUCGAGCGGUAACACAGAGGAGCUUGCUCCUUGGGUGACGAGCGGCGGACGGGUGAGUAAUGCCUGGGGAUCUGCCCGAUAGAGGGGGAUAACUACGGGAAACUGUAGCUAAUACCGCAUAAUGUCUACGGACCAAAGUGGGGGCUCUUCGGACCUCAUGCUAUCGGAUGAACCCAGGUGGGAUUAGCUAGUUGGUGAGGUAAUGGCUCACCAAGGCGACGAUCUCUAACUCGUUUGCGAGAAUGACCAGGCACACUGGAACUGAGACACGGUCCAGACUCCUACGGGAGGCAGAAGUGGGGAAUAUUGCACAAUGGGCGCAAGCCUGAUGCAGCCAUGCCGCGUGUGUGAAGAAGACCUUCGGGUUGUAAAGCACCUUCAGCGGGGAGGAAGGGUCGCUAGUUAAUACCUAGUGGCAUUGACGUUACUCGCAGAAGAAGCACCGGCUAACUCCGUGCCAGCCGCCGCGGUAAAAC